rnacentral:lncRNA from 1 species
GCCUGAAACUUGUUUUAAGAAGCAGUAUUCACUGCAAACCAUAAAGUCUUAGAAAAUUCUGAUAUAUCAGAAAUAUAUUUAUUAUCUUUUAAGUGGUACUGUUUCCCUAGGGCAUUAGUUCUCAGAUUUCAGAAUGGGGAGCAAUCACCUGGGACAUUUGUUUAAAAUGCACAUUGCUGGGCCUACCUUAGAAUUCUGCUGGGUCUUUGGACCUUAUUUUGAGAAACACUUUCUUUGAGCUAUUCUUUUAUUGUCCUGUAGUUAUAUAUUAGAAUAUUCAUGAUAAGUUUUGAGAAAGGGGUAGGCAGUGAGUUACUAUCUUACCUACAAUUUUACAUAAAUUUUGAAUGACUUCUUCAAGUUAGAGAUCUCCCCCCACCCCGCCGGCAAAAUCCCAUCUAUUUUCUAUCAAUAAUGUUAAAAUGAUGAACAUUUUUCUGUGAUGAGCUUUUAACCGUUAUUCAGGGUGGGGUUUUUUUUUUUUCGUUUGUUUUUAAAUAUUUUUUUUAACUAAUAAGAUUUACCAUGUAUAUUUUAUACAAAAUUGCAUUACAGAUAUGUUUUUAAUUGCGUUCUGUUUUUUUGUAGUUUUUAAGUGCCAUGCCAGUUCCUUUUCUAUAGAAGUGCUCUCAAAAUACUCAAUGAGAAUAAGGCAGUUGACAGAAUGGUGUUCUAAGAAAAAAUUUAUUUUACAUAAGCAUGUCUGGUCGGACCGUUCUAUGUGUAUGCAGCCUGAGUUGCCUAUCCGGAAGAAUUGAGGAGAGGAGAAUUUCAGUGUCUAGAUUGCCUCGAUUGCCUUGACCGGGUGGAACCUCUUGGAAAUCCUCAGUGGCAGCACAUUUCAUCCUUUGAAGAUGGAUUUGAUUCUCAGAAAUCCUCAAAAGCUAUUCGGAGUCAAGUCUCAGGUGGGUGGCAAAUCUGGGGAAUAUUGUUCUGGACACUCGGACCUUAAUUCUGCCUCCUUUCUACCCCCUGAUGGAAGAGCCUCUGUUGGAAUGACUUUGAGGUAAAUAGGACAUUUUGCUUCUUCUCUUUGGCUCACAGAGGAAGACUUAAAUUCUCAGGGGAGAAGAAAUGAUGACCUAGAGAACAUCUUUUUUUCUCUCUCUCUCCAGCAUAAUAAUUCCCCAAAGCUGUGUCCUUUGUCUCCGCCUGCAGUGCACUGGGUCUACCUCGGGGGCUCGGCCGUGGACCAGGGGGUGGAGAGGGUGUACUUCCAAAGCUCUUCUAAGCCUGUAUUUGCAGAACCCGGAAGAAUAUUUAAUUAGUUCUGUACUCCAGGCUACUCAUAACAGGAGUUCACAGGGUUGGGGUGUGGGGGUGAAAAGAGAGGCCUCGUACCUCUAGUUUAGAAUCCUCGUCCCUGGGGCGCCUGGGUGGCUCAGUCGUUAAGCGUCUGCCUUCAGCUCAGGGUGUGAUCCCAGCGUUCUGGGAUCGAGCCCCACAUCAGGCUCCUCCGCUGGGAGCCUGCUUCUUCCUCUUCCACUCCCCCUGCUUGUGUUCCCUCUCUCGCUGGCUGUCUCUCUCUCUGUCAAAUAAAUAAAUAAAAUCUUAAAAAAAAAAAAAAGAAUCCUCGUCCCUAGAGGCUUACACAACUGCAGGGGCUCGGCCGCAGGCCUGGAAGUGUUCUCCCGUGGGUGCUCUCUACGGUAGCAGGGAAUGUCCCACUCAGAGCCCCCCUUUCUCCCUCCGCAUCGUCCAUCU